rnacentral:lncRNA from 1 species
UACGGAGGUGCUCUAAAGCGCUGCAAAGAUUCCAAACUCUUAAGCACACCUACCCCAAGGCUGUAAGAUUUGUCGGGCGAUUUACACCAGGUGGAUGCUCUGUGUCCAGACGUUCAAGACUCCUUCUGCAUUAUGCACCAGAAUCUGGGAUCCUGUCAGCCCUGCUAAAACAGGGUGAGCUGCAAGCCCGCACGUGGAUGUUCGCUGCUUCCCUGGCACCGAGUUAAGACACUGGCUACACUUCGCCUGAGGUCUCCACACUCCACCUCUAGUCACAGCAGGACUGGGUAAGAGGCAAGAAGGUGAUAUCAGCAUGACUGUAAAAAUCUACACCUCCGCUCUUAUGAAUACGUGGGGAGCUUCCUGAGAAGCCACAUGUGCGGCCGUAAUCAAAUACAUCUAAGUGCUGACUCCAAAGUCGGUGCCCACCACCUGGGAAUUAAAAUCUACACCGACCGUGCUGGCCUGAAGACAAGACCUCACCAGAAACUAAUCAGCUUGAAAACUGCAGACCAAAUAAUGCCAGCUCGGUGCCUGACCUGCCUUUCAGAGAAGCCAACAGGCAAGAGAACAGUGAGAGCAGAAACCAAACGGAAAGCUCAUCCUGGAGGUGGAUCAAGCUCAAUACCUCCCGUGACCCCGAUUCUGCCCUGCCAAGCGCCAGCUGAGUGAUUCCACAGAGGGGAGACACGAGAAGGGACGCGAGAGAUGGUCCACACCUGCCAGCGGAAUUCCUAACCCCUGCUCCUCGCAUCACACCAGGUCAGGGCAGCAGAAGCCCGGCCCCCGGACGGACGCUCCGCAAAGCCCUCUCCACCUUUCCCCCAGCCCCCUGGCAUCAGAAGGCUCCUGAAUGCAGGGGGGAAGCGCAGCUCACACACUCCACCCCUCCACCUGUUUGCCACUGGCCUCUUUCCGAGGGAAGGGGAAGGAGAACGCCCCACAAGGCCACAGAUGCUCAUUUGGACACCUACGGGGACUGGAAAACUUGAAGUCUGAACGCUGGCUCCAAAGACCAGGGCGAACUCAGGGUGCCGGGCGCAGCCGUCCUGGACGGUGACCCCACGUCCUUCUCAGCUCAGCCUAGGGCGCUGCUUGGUGGGGGGGGGCGGAUGAGACUCACGGGUUCCCGGGACUUGAACUCAGGACCGGAGGUGGAGGAGCAGGG